rnacentral:rRNA from 1 species
GGGUUGUGAGGUUAAGCGACUAAGCGUACACGGUGGAUGCCCUGGCAGUCAGAGGCGAUGAAGGACGUGCUAAUCUGCGAUAAGCGUCGGUAAGGUGAUAUGAACCGUUAUAACCGGCGAUUUCCGAAUGGGGAAACCCAGUGUGAUUCGUCACACUAUCAUUAACUGAAUCCAUAGGUUAAUGAGGCGAACCGGGGGAACUGAAACAUCUAAGUACCCCGAGGAAAAGAAAUCAACCGAGAUUCCCCCAGUAGCGGCGAGCGAACGGGGAGGAGCCCAGAGCCUGAAUCAGUGUGUGUGUUAGUGGAAGCGUCUGGAAAGGCGCGCGAUACAGGGUGACAGCCCCGUACACAAAAAUGCACAUGCUGUGAGCUCGAUGAGUAGGGCGGGACACGUGGUAUCCUGUCUGAAUGUGGGGGGACCAUCCUCCAAGGCUAAAUACUCCUGACUGACCGAUAGUGAACCAGUACCGUGAGGGAAAGGCGAAAAGAACCCCGGCGAGGGGAGUGAAAAAGAACCUGAAACCGUGUACGUACAAGCAGUGGGAGCACGCUUAGGCGUGUGACUGCGUACCUUUUGUAUAAUGGGUCAGCGACUUAUAUUCUGUAGCAAGGUUAACCGAAUAGGGGAGCCGAAGGGAAACCGAGUCUUAACUGGGCGUUAAGUUGCAGGGUAUAGACCCGAAACCCGGUGAUCUAGCCAUGGGCAGGUUGAAGGUUGGGUAACACUAACUGGAGGACCGAACCGACUAAUGUUGAAAAAUUAGCGGAUGACUUGUGGCUGGGGGUGAAAGGCCAAUCAAACCGGGAGAUAGCUGGUUCUCCCCGAAAGCUAUUUAGGUAGCGCCUCGUGAAUUCAUCUCCGGGGGUAGAGCACUGUUUCGGCAAGGGGGUCAUCCCGACUUACCAACCCGAUGCAAACUGCGAAUACCGGAGAAUGUUAUCACGGGAGACACACGGCGGGUGCUAACGUCCGUCGUGAAGAGGGAAACAACCCAGACCGCCAGCUAAGGUCCCAAAGUCAUGGUUAAGUGGGAAACGAUGUGGGAAGGCCCAGACAGCCAGGAUGUUGGCUUAGAAGCAGCCAUCAUUUAAAGAAAGCGUAAUAGCUCACUGGUCGAGUCGGCCUGCGCGGAAGAUGUAACGGGGCUAAACCAUGCACCGAAGCUGCGGCAGCGACGCUGAUGCGUUGUUGGGUAGGGGAGCGUUCUGUAAGCCUGUGAAGGUGUGCUGUGAGGCAUGCUGGAGGUAUCAGAAGUGCGAAUGCUGACAUAAGUAACGAUAAAGCGGGUGAAAAGCCCGCUCGCCGGAAGACCAAGGGUUCCUGUCCAACGUUAAUCGGGGCAGGGUGAGUCGACCCCUAAGGCGAGGCCGAAAGGCGUAGUCGAUGGGAAACAGGUUAAUAUUCCUGUACUUGGUGUUACUGCGAAGGGGGGACGGAGAAGGCUAUGUUGGCCGGGCGACGGUUGUCCCGGUUUAAGCGUGUAGGCUGGUUUUCCAGGCAAAUCCGGAAAAUCAAGGCUGAGGCGUGAUGACGAGGCACUACGGUGCUGAAGCAACAAAUGCCCUGCUUCCAGGAAAAGCCUCUAAGCAUCAGGUAACAUCAAAUCGUACCCCAAACCGACACAGGUGGUCAGGUAGAGAAUACCAAGGCGCUUGAGAGAACUCGGGUGAAGGAACUAGGCAAAAUGGUGCCGUAACUUCGGGAGAAGGCACGCUGAUAUGUAGGUGAAGUCCCUCGCGGAUGGAGCUGAAAUCAGUCGAAGAUACCAGCUGGCUGCAACUGUUUAUUAAAAACACAGCACUGUGCAAACACGAAAGUGGACGUAUACGGUGUGACGCCUGCCCGGUGCCGGAAGGUUAAUUGAUGGGGUCAGCGCAAGCGAAGCUCUUGAUCGAAGCCCCGGUAAACGGCGGCCGUAACUAUAACGGUCCUAAGGUAGCGAAAUUCCUUGUCGGGUAAGUUCCGACCUGCACGAAUGGCGUAAUGAUGGCCAGGCUGUCUCCACCCGAGACUCAGUGAAAUUGAACUCGCUGUGAAGAUGCAGUGUACCCGCGGCAAGACGGAAAGACCCCGUGAACCUUUACUAUAGCUUGACACUGAACAUUGAGCCUUGAUGUGUAGGAUAGGUGGGAGGCUUAGAAGUGUGGACGCCAGUCUGCAUGGAGCCGACCUUGAAAUACCACCCUUUAAUGUUUGAUGUUCUAACGUUGACCCGUAAUCCGGGUUGCGGACAGUGUCUGGUGGGUAGUUUGACUGGGGCGGUCUCCUCCUAAAGAGUAACGGAGGAGCACGAAGGUUGGCUAAUCCUGGUCGGACAUCAGGAGGUUAGUGCAAUGGCAUAAGCCAGCUUGACUGCGAGCGUGACGGCGCGAGCAGGUGCGAAAGCAGGUCAUAGUGAUCCGGUGGUUCUGAAUGGAAGGGCCAUCGCUCAACGGAUAAAAGGUACUCCGGGGAUAACAGGCUGAUACCGCCCAAGAGUUCAUAUCGACGGCGGUGUUUGGCACCUCGAUGUCGGCUCAUCACAUCCUGGGGCUGAAGUAGGUCCCAAGGGUAUGGCUGUUCGCCAUUUAAAGUGGUACGCGAGCUGGGUUUAGAACGUCGUGAGACAGUUCGGUCCCUAUCUGCCGUGGGCGCUGGAGAACUGAGGGGGGCUGCUCCUAGUACGAGAGGACCGGAGUGGACGCAUCACUGGUGUUCGGGUUGUCAUGCCAAUGGCACUGCCCGGUAGCUAAAUGCGGAAGAGAUAAGUGCUGAAAGCAUCUAAGCACGAAACUUGCCCCGAGAUGAGUUCUCCCUGACCCUUUAAGGGUCCUGAAGGAACGUUGAAGACGACGACGUUGAUAGGCCGGGUGUGUAAGCGCAGCGAU